CACCAUUAAACAAAUAAUGUGCAUCUGCGUGCAUUUUUGCGUGCAUUUGCACACGUCGAUGAGCUUUUCCGAAACCCAGAGUUUUGGUGGCACAUAAUAAAUGGCGCGGGCCUUUUCGCAAUCGGAGUGUAGUAAACUUUAAUGUGAUGACGCUUGGGUUGCGGAUCGUGUCCGCGCAAUGGGUGUGGCGAUUUUUCCCCUGCUCCAAUGCCACUCUUUCACCGAAAGAUUUUUCCCUUAGGGCCUCAAAUCAGACAAGAAUACCCGCCGAACUUAAGCAUAUCAAUAAGCGGAGGAAAAGAAACUAACAAGGAUUCCCCUAGUAACGGCGAGUGAAGCGGGAACAGCUCAAAUUUGGAAUCUGGCUGCGCUUUGCAGUCCGAGUUGUAGUUUGAAGAAGCGUGUUGCGACCGGGGACAUUGGCACAAGUCCUCUGGAACGAGGCAUCAUAGAGGGUGAGAAUCCCGUCUUUGGUCGUUGUUCCGGUCGCAGACGGCAUGCUUUCGAAGAGUCGAGUUGUUUGGGAUUGCAGCUCCAAAUGGGUGGUAAACUCCAUCUAAGGCUAAAUAUUGGCGAGAGACCGAUAGCGAACAAGUACCGUGAGGGAAAGAUGAAAAGAACUUUGAAAAGAGAGUAAAACAGUACGUGAAAUUGUUGAAAGGGAAACGCUUGAAGUCAGUCGUGCCGGUGGGAAUUCAGCAAGCUCUCUUCUGAGUACGCGCAUUUUCUCGCAUGGCAGGUCAGCGUCAGUUUUGCGUGGCGCAAAAGGGUUCUGGUAAGGUAGCUCUCUUCGGGGAGUGUUAUAGACCGGGGCAGAUGCGGCGCGCGGGACUGAGGAUUGCAGCAAACACCCUUCGGGGCGCGGCUCCUGGUCUCUGCCUUGUCACCCGUGUCCGGUAGCAUGCUAGCGGGCGUGGGAGCGGCAUUGCACUAGGGCAGGCAGGCUGGUGGUUUUGCUAGGG
rnacentral:rRNA from 1 species